rnacentral:rRNA from 1 species
AGCCCCGUACACAAAAAUGCACAUGCUGUGAGCUCGAUGAGUAGGGCGGGACACGUGGUAUCCUGUCUGAAUAUGGGGGGACCAUCCUCCAAGGCUAAAUACUCCUGACUGACCGAUAGUGAACCAGUACCGUGAGGGAAAGGCGAAAAGAACCCCGGCGAGGGGAGUGAAAAAGAACCUGAAACCGUGUACGUACAAGCAGUGGGAGCACGCUUAGGCGUGUGACUGCGUACCUUUUGUAUAAUGGGUCAGCGACUUAUAUUCUGUAGCAAGGUUAACCGAAUAGGGGAGCCGAAGGGAAACCGAGUCUUAACUGGGCGUUAAGUUGCAGGGUAUAGACCCGAAACCCGGUGAUCUAGCCAUGGGCAGGUUGAAGGUUGGGUAACACUAACUGGAGGACCGAACCGACUAAUGUUGAAAAAUUAGCGGAUGACUUGUGGCUGGGGGUGAAAGGCCAAUCAAACCGGGAGAUAGCUGGUUCUCCCCGAAAGCUAUUUAGGUAGCGCCUCGUGAAUUCAUCUCCGGGGGUAGAGCACUGUUUCGGCAAGGGGGUCAUCCCGACUUACCAACCCGAUGCAAACUGCGAAUACCGGAGAAUGUUAUCACGGGAGACACACGGCGGGUGCUAACGUCCGUCGUGAAGAGGGAAACAACCCAGACCGCCAGCUAAGGUCCCAAAGUCAUGGUUAAGUGGGAAACGAUGUGGGAAGGCCCAGACAGCCAGGAUGUUGGCUUAGAAGCAGCCAUCAUUUAAAGAAAGCGUAAUAGCUCACUGGUCGAGUCGGCCUGCGCGGAAGAUGUAACGGGGCUAAACCAUGCACCGAAGCUGCGGCAGCGACGCUGAUGCGUUGUUGGGUAGGGGAGCGUUCUGUAAGCCUGUGAAGGUGUGCUGUGAGGCAUGCUGGAGGUAUCAGAAGUGCGAAUGCUGACAUAAGUAACGAUAAAGCGGGUGAAAAGCCCGCUCGCCGGAAGACCAAGGGUUCCUGUCCAACGUUAAUCGGGGCAGGGUGAGUCGACCCCUAAGGCGAGGCCGAAAGGCGUAGUCGAUGGGAAACAGGUUAAUAUUCCUGUACUUGGUGUUACUGCGAAGGGGGGACGGAGAAGGCUAUGUUGGCCGGGCGACGGUUGUCCCGGUUUAAGCGUGUAGGCUGGUUUUCCAGGCAAAUCCGGAAAAUCAAGGCUGAGGCGUGAUGACGAGGCACUACGGUGCUGAAGCAACAAAUGCCCUGCUUCCAGGAAAAGCCUCUAAGCAUCAGGUAACAUCAAAUCGUACCCCAAACCGACACAGGUGGUCAGGUAGAGAAUACCAAGGCGCUUGAGAGAACUCGGGUGAAGGAACUAGGCAAAAUGGUGCCGUAACUUCGGGAGAAGGCACGCUGAUAUGUAGGUGAAGUCCCUCGCGGAUGGAGCUGAAAUCAGUCGAAGAUACCAGCUGGCUGCAACUGUUUAUUAAAAACACAGCACUGUGCAAACACGAAAGUGGACGUAUACGGUGUGACGCCUGCCCGGUGCCGGAAGGUUAAUUGAUGGGGUCAGCGCAAGCGAAGCUCUUGAUCGAAGCCCCGGUAAACGGCGGCCGUAACUAUAACGGUCCUAAGGUAGCGAAAUUCCUUGUCGGGUAAGUUCCGACCUGCACGAAUGGCGUAAUGAUGGCCAGGCUGUCUCCACCCGAGACUCAGUGAAAUUGAACUCGCUGUGAAGAUGCAGUGUACCCGCGGCAAGACGGAAAGACCCCGUGAACCUUUACUAUAGCUUGACACUGAACAUUGAGCCUUGAUGUGUAGGAUAGGUGGGAGGCUUUGAAGUGUGGACGCCAGUCUGCAUGGAGCCGGCCUUGAAAUACCACCCUUUAAUGUUUGAUGUUCUAACGUUGACCCGUGAUCCGGGUUGCGGACAGUGUCUGGUGGGUAGUUUGACUGGGGCGGUCUCCUCCUAAAGAGUAACGGAGGAGCACGAAGGUUGGCUAAUCCUGGUCGGACAUCAGGAGGUUAGUGCAAUGGCAUAAGCCAGCUUGACUGCGAGCGUGACGGCGCGAGCAGGUGCGAAAGCAGGUCAUAGUGAUCCGGUGGUUCUGAAUGGAAGGGCCAUCGCUCAACGGAUAAAAGGUACUCCGGGGAUAACAGGCUGAUACCGCCCAAGAGUUCAUAUCGACGGCGGUGUUUGGCACCUCGAUGUCGGCUCAUCACAUCCUGGGGCUGAAGUAGGUCCCAAGGGUAUGGCUGUUCGCCAUUUAAAGUGGUACGCGAGCUGGGUUUAGAACGUCGUGAGACAGUUCGGUCCCUAUCUGCCGUGGGCGCUGGAGAACUGAGGGGGGCUGCUCCUAGUACGAGAGGACCGGAGUGGACGCAUCACUGGUGUUCGGGUUGUCAUGCCAAUGGCACUGCCCGGUAGCUAAAUGCGGAAGAGAUAAGUGCUGAAAGCAUCUAAGCACGAAACUUGCCCCGAGAUGAGUUCUCCCUGACUCCUUGAGAGUCCUGAAGGAACGUUGAAGACGACGACGUUGAUAGGCCGGGUGUGUAAGCGCAGCGAUGCGUUGAGCUAACCGGUACUAAUGAACCGUGAGG